rnacentral:sRNA from 1 species
GCUGGGCAUGAUGGUGCACGCCUGUAAUCCCAGCGUCUCGGGAGGCCGAGGCAGGAGGAUCUCAAGUUCAAAGCCAGCCUCAGCAGUUUAGCAAGGUGCCAAGCAACUCAGUGAGACCCUGCCUCUA